GAUGAACGCUGGCGGCGUGCCUAAUACAUGCAAGUCGAGCGAACAGACGAGGAGCUUGCUCCUCUGACGUUAGCGGCGGACGGGUGAGUAACACGUGGAUAACCUACCUAUAAGACUGGGAUAACUUCGGGAAACCGGAGCUAAUACCGGAUAACAUGUUGAACCGCAUGGUUCAACAGUGAAAGACGGUCUUGCUGUCACUUAUAGAUGGAUCCGCGCCGCAUUAGCUAGUUGGUAAGGUAACGGCUUACCAAGGCAACGAUGCGUAGCCGACCUGAGAGGGUGAUCGGCCACAUUGGAACUGAGACACGGUCCAGACUCCUACGGGAGGCAGCAGUAGGGAAUCUUCCGCAAUGGGCGAAAGCCUGACGGAGCAACGCCGCGUGAGUGAAGAAGGUCUUCGGAUCGUAAAACUCUGUUAUUAGGGAAGAACAAAUGUGUAAGUAACUAUGCACGUCUUGACGGUACCUAAUCAGAAAGCCACGGCUAACUACGUG
rnacentral:rRNA from 1 species